AGUAACACGUGGAUAACCUACCUAUAAGACUGGGAUAACUUCGGGAGGCCGGAGCUAAUACCGGAUAAUAUAUUGAACCGCAUGGUUCAAUAGUGAAAGACGGUUUUGCUGUCACUUAUAGAUGGAUCCGCGCCGCAUUAGCUAGUUGGUAAGGUAACGGCUUACCAAGGCAGCGAUGCGUAGCCGACCUGAGAGGGUGAUCGGCCACACUGGAACUGAGACACGGUCCAGACUCCUACGGGAGGCAGCAGCA
rnacentral:rRNA from 1 species